rnacentral:rRNA from 1 species
CAAGUCGUACGGGCCGCAAGGCCAGUGGCGCAAGGGUGAGUAAGGCGACGGCAACCAACCCCAUGGCUGGGUAUAGCCGCGGGAAACCGCGGGUAAUCCCCAGCGACGCAGCGGGCCGGCAUCGGCCUGCUGCCAAAGCUCCGGCGCCGUGGGACGGGCCGUCGUGGUAUUAGGUAGUUGGCGGGGUAACGGCCCACCAAGCCGACGAUGCCUACCGGGCGUGCGAGCGUGGCCCGGCACACUGGGACUGAGACACUGCCCAGACUCCUACGGGAGGCUGCAGUCGAGAAUCUUCGGCAAUGGGCGCAAGCCUGACCGAGCGACGCCGCGUGGAGGACGAAGGCCUUCGGGUUGUAAACUCCUGUCGAGGGGGAAGAAGGGUCGCAAGACCUUGACUGAUCCCUGGAGGAAGCACGGGCUAAGUUCGUGCCAGCAGCCGCGGUAAGACGAACCGUGCGAACGUUAUUCGGAAUCACUGGGCUUAAAGCGCGUGUAGGCGGGACGGCACGUCGGUCGCUGAAAUCCCCCGGCUUAACCGGGGAACUGGCGUCGAUACGACCGCCCUGGAGGGGCGUAGGGGGACCUGGAACUUCCGGUGGAGCGGUGAAAUGCGUUGAGAUCGGAAGGAACGCCCGUGGCGAAAGCGAGGUCCUGGACGCCUACUGACGCUGAGACGCGAAAGCCAGGGGAGCGAACGGGAUUAGAUACCCCGGUAGUCCUGGCCGUAAACGAUGGGCACUGGG